rnacentral:sRNA from 1 species
UAUUUACCGAGACAGAAAAGUCUAAGAUGCUCUGCAAGCUUGCUUGCAUGAACAUCGCAGACUUUUAUGAAUCGCCCCUGACAUGAGCACGGAAAGCCGAGUAUCGGCUUGGAAGUGCGAAUGUCAGGUAGGAAUCGUGAAAGCACGAAGUGCGACGAUUCCGUAAAUA